rfam:Bacillus sp. FJAT-27986 scaffolf4, whole genome shotgun sequence.
AGGUGAUGCCUCCUAACCUUUAUCAAGGGAGACACUCGGCCGUGCUGUGGGAGGUAGAAAAGCUUCCUUAGAUGCAAGUCAUCAGUAGGAUGGUGUGAGGGUGGGUUAGAUGCCCA